CUACGGGCGGCUGCAGUGAGGAAUAUUGGUCAAUGGGGGAAACCCUGAACCAGCGACGCCGCGUGUGGGAUGAAUGGGCUCUGCCCUGUAAACCACUGUUGAGAGGGAAGAAAAGCUUCUUAUGGAAGCCGGGACUGUACCUCUUCAGAAAGGAUCGGCUAACUACGUGCCAGCAGCCGCGGUAAUACGUAGGAUCCAAGCGUUGUCCGGAAUUACUGGGUGUAAAGGGUGCGUAGGCGGGCUUGUGCGUCAGGGGUUAAAUCCCACGGCUUAACCGUGGAGCUGCCCUUGAUACGGCAAGUCUUGAGUGUGAGAGAGGAUGGUAGAAUUCCUGGUGUAGCGGUGAAAUGCGUAGAUAUCAGGAGGAAUACCAGUGGCGAAGGCGGCCAUCUGGCUCACUACUGACGCUGAGGCACGAAAGCGUGGGGAGCGAACAGGAUUAGAUACCCUAGUAGUC
rnacentral:rRNA from 1 species